UACAGAGGUGGCAAGCGUUGUUCGGAAUUACUGGGCGUAAAGGGCGCGUAGGCGGCCUGCUAAGUCGGAUGUGAAAUCCCUCGGCUCAACCGAGGAACUGCAUCCGAUACUGGCGGGCUUGAAUCCGGGAGAGGGAUGUGGAAUUCCAGGUGUAGCGGUGAAAUGCGUAGAUAUCUGGAGGAAUACCGGCGGCGAAGGCGGCAUCCUGGACCGACAUUGACGCUGAUGAGCGAAAGCUAGGGGAGCAAACGGG
rnacentral:rRNA from 1 species